GUAGGUGGCAAGCGUUGUCCGGGAAUUAUUGGGGCGUAAAGCGCGCGCAGGCGGUUCUUUUAAGUCUGAUGUGAAAAGCCCACGGGCUCAACCGUGGGAGGGUCAUUGGAAGCUGGAGAACUUGAGUACAGAAGAGGAAAGCGGAAUUCCACGUGUAGCGGUGAAAUGCGUAGAGAUGUGGAGGAACACCAGUGGCGAAGGCGGCUUUCUGGUCUGUAACUGACGCUGAGGCGCGAAAGCGUGGGGAGCAAACAGGAUUAGAUACCCUGGUAGUCCACGCCGUAAACGAUGAGUGCUAAGUGUUAGGGGGUUUCCGCCCCUUAGUGCUGCAGCUAACGCAUUAAGCACUCCGCCUGGGGAGUACGGCCGCAAAGGCUGA
rnacentral:rRNA from 1 species